GGCAGCUGGAGAUUAGGUCUGGGCCACCACGAAGGCCUCCUCUUCAGUUUCCUAGAAGACACUCUCCUCUCGGGACUCCGAGGUCCCCUUCCCACAGCCUACCCUCCCUCCUCUAGUCGGAAUGGCGAUGAUGGCCAGACGCAGGACACUCCGGGCCACUUCAGGCACACAGGGUCAGCUGUAACACUGCCUGUCUCUCUUCAACUCAAGAAACAGCACUGACCCAGCCAGCUGCAUGCUGUGAACAGCUUCAUGCAGAGGUCUCUGUGCCAAAGAACUGAUAUCUCCAACCAGUGACUGACAAGGACUUGAGACCUGCCAACAGUCACGUGAGUGAGUUUGGAAAGGGACCCUCUUCCAAUUGAAUCUUGAAAUGCCUGCCACUCUGGCUGACAGUGUGACUACAACCUCACGACAGACCUGGACCAGAAGCAUCUAGAUAAACUGCACCUGGAUUCCUAGUCCUCAGAAACUGUGUAAUAAUAUGCUUGCUGUUUUGAGCUGCUAAUCACCUUAAAAUUUUCAAGUGCCAGUAGAUAACUAAUACAGAUUUUGGUGUCAUGAGUAGGGUUCUAUUUGUUUUGUUUUGUUUUGUUUUUAAAGAUUUUAUUUAUUUGAGAGAGCACAUAAA